rnacentral:rRNA from 1 species
AACGAACGCUGGCGGCAUGCCUAACACAUGCAAGUCGAACGAGACCUUCGGGUCUAGUGGCGCACGGGUGCGUAACGCGUGGGAACCCGCCCUUAGGUUCGGAAUAACUCCCCGAAAGGGGUGCUAAUACCGGAUAAUGUCUUCGGACCAAAGAUUUAUCGCCUUUGGAUGGGCCCGCGUUGGAUUAGCUAGUUGGUAGGGUAAAAGCCUACCAAGGCGACGAUCCAUAGCUGGUCUGAGAGGAUGAUCAGCCACACUGGGACUGAGACACGGCCCAGACUCCUACGGGAGGCAGCAGUGGGGAAUAUUGGACAAUGGGCGAAAGCCUGAUCCAGCAAUGCCGCGUGAGUGAUGAAGGCCUUAGGGUUGUAAAGCUCUUUUACCCGGGAUGAUAAUGACAGUACCGGGAGAAUAAGCGCCGGCUAACUCCGUG